UGGACAGAUUAUUGUAUUCGACUGUAUUCACGGCGUGAAACAGGGGAUUACACUGUUUUUAAACGGAAAGUGAAUCAAUUAACAUAAUAAACUCCU
rnacentral:pre_miRNA from 1 species